rnacentral:rRNA from 1 species
AGCGAACGCUGGCGGCAGGCUUAACACAUGCAAGUCGAGCGGGCAUCCUUGUGGUGUCAGCGGCAGACGGGUGAGUAACGCGUGGGAACGUGCCCUUCGGUUCGGAAUAAUUCAGGGAAACUUGAGCUAAUACCGGAUACGUGCGAGAGCAGAAAGGUUUAUCUGCCGAAGGAUCGGCCCGCGUCUGAUUAGCUAGUUGGUGAGGUUAUGGCUCACCAAGGCGACGAUCAGUAGCUGGUCUGAGAGGAUGAUCAGCCACACUGGGACUGAGACACGGCCCAGACUCCUACGGGAGGCAGCAGUGGGGAAUAUUGGACAAUGGGGGCAACCCUGAUCCAGCCAUGCCGCGUGAGUGAUGACGGCCUUAGGGUUGUAAAGCUCUUUUCUCCGGGACGAUAAUGACGGUACCGGAGGAAUAAGCCCCGGCUAACUUCGUG